CCUCCUUUGUUGGCCGAAUAGGGCAUGUGGUCCCACUCCUCAUUAAGUACAGAGGCAGAGGGAAAGGGCUGCUGUCCCCCACUUAGCGUCAUGUCUUUGGUGCAGGAUGCUUCCCUUCUGCUGCUCAAGCACUAGGACACUG